ACAGGAAUUCCUGUCUGGGACCAUUUCUCUGGGAUGAUUGGUUCAGCUGGUCAUAGAACAUUGGAUAUGGGAAGAACAAAGGAGAGAUGAACUUGCAUUACAACACUGUUCUGGUGGCCAGCACACACCUUCUCGAGUGACUUCACAUUGUGGCUGGUGAGGAUGAUCCAGACCUGGUAAAUGGCCACUUCAGGCUCCACAAGCAUUUUACCAGUGUCCUUGAAUGCCAUGACGGUGGAGUGGCUUCCUAACUGACUUAUUCCUUGGUGAGAGCAAACGGCAGUGAGUCAGGAGGAGAAGAGGAAGGAAUUGCCGACUCCAAGCAGCUGCAGCAAUGAGAGAUGCCUGAGGACAAUGAGAGCUGAAUUGGCUGUCUUAUGGUUCCAUACCCUUUAUAUCUCAGAAGUUGAACCUGAACUCGACGCUUCCUGGGUGAUGC